rnacentral:sRNA from 2 species
ACGGAGGGCAUCCGUGCAACAUUACUUUCCAACUCCCAAUUCAUCAAUAACAGGGACAAGAGAUGCGGACAUUACUGAGCACUCUACGUAAAUUCACGCCCGUUCAAUAUCAGCCAGUUUCCAUUAUCUCUUGAAUACUAACUAGUAGUUUGAUAAUACCUAAAACACAUUACGAACCGGUGUUCCUGAAUUAUCCGUCCUCGAUGAACACAGAGUGUCAAAGACCACAAGAGCUGACAGCAAAGAAACCAAAGUUUUGAAACUUGUUUAUCACUGCCAGCGCCACAAUCGCAGCCCAAAAAGUCUACAAAUCUAUCUGGCCCAGCAGCAAUGCCAGGCAUUCCAAAUUGUCAUGCAAUCAAUGCCUGACAAAUCAGUUGACAGAGCGUGAGGCAAGCUCAUCUCGAUCUCUCAUCAACUCCAUAUCUAUCUCUCAUCUUCAAAUGCUGAAAAACAAAGACAAUCCAUAUUGAGGGCACGGAUGGUGGUCUAGUAAACUUUUCUGCGCUAUGUGAGAGCUGGGAUGAUAGAUGACUAUAAAUCCAUUUUGCACAUGGUAAUUUCUCACAGCGCAAUGUCAUGAUUAUGACUGCUAAAAAAUGGCGGGGUAAAGACUGUUUUUGGGCUGGGAUGGAGCAGACUGAUACCCAGAGUAUUGGAAUCAAUAGAGUACUUUCGGAAGACCCUGGGAUACGUGAUUACUAUCUAUAUCUCAAAGCACGUUAUACGUUAUUCACUUCAAGUAUAUGUAGGGUUAUCAUAGCGAUGGGA